GGGAGUAGCUCAGUUGGUAGAGCAUCAGCCUUCCAAGCUGAGGGUCGCGAGUUCGAGUCUCGUCUCCC
rnacentral:tRNA from 1 species